CGAUUGUUUUCAAGUUGUCGCUCAUUUCAUCACUUGUUUUCAUUCUAAAAAGUGAAGAUUAAAAUAGAAAAAAGUAAAAAAGAAAAGUAAAAUAAGUUUAGAAAAGUAAACAAAGUAAUUGGAAAACGGAUAAAGUAUCAAAAGAAGGAUGACCAUAAUUUCUGAAUCAACAAAAAUUUGGAAGGUUUUGCCUUUUUCUGCUGGUCCUUGGCCUAUUGUGAAUUAUUUCAAUAUUCGACAACGAAAUCAAUUCGGAAUUAAAUGAACAACAAAAAUUGCAAAUGGAAGAUGACUUACUCGUGAGCAUUGAUUGCGACAACAACAGGAACACCGUGUUUACAUCCAUUGCUAAUGUGCUUUUGAAGAUUUGGAAUUCCUUUUUGUAACAAAUCGAGAUUUUCCUCGACGU